rnacentral:rRNA from 1 species
UUGAAGAUCAAAGGAGCAAUGCGCUUAGGGAGGGGGUUGCGUCCCAUUAGUUAGUUGGCGGGGUAAUGGCCCACCAAGACUANGAUCGGUAUCUGGCCUGAGAGGGCGCCCAGCCACACUGGAACUGAAACACGGUCCAGACUCCUANCGGGAGGCAGCAGUGGGGAAUUUUGCAGCAAUGGGGGAAACCCUGACGCAGCAANCGCCGCGUGGAGGAAUGAAGUCCCUUCGGGUCGUAAACUCCUGUCGAUCGGGACGAUAUGACGUACCGUGAGAGCC